AAGUACAAACUCAUUUGGGUUUAUUAUCCAAAUCCACCAAGUACAAAACAAAAAGGACACAUGCCCAUUCCGGACAUCCGCCUUUGUCGCUCUAUUAGUCUUGGCUUGUCUAGGAUUUUCUAUUUCAAAUCCUUCUUUCCAUUUCCUAAAAACCCUCUCCACCUGAGAAAUGUUGUCGUCGUGGACCGACCCUAGUCUCCACUUGCUUUAGCUUUGGAUCAUCAACCAGCUGGAGUUGAUGUUCUUUCUUGGUCUUAUAUCAGCUAUCAUGAUUGGGUUUUAUGGGUUAUGCUCAUUGUUUUUGUUGAUGGAUCUAGUCCAAUGGAGGGUUACUUCUUCACUUGGUGGUUCCGAAAUGGGUAGCUCUGAUCCACCGCCUAGGAUAAGUGUUGCAAGCUUCUUCCAGAUUUAACAGUCUGACUGACCCCAGAUCUUCCCAUUUUGUUAGUUGUAAUAGCUUAGGCUAGAUAGCAUUUCACUAACUUUGACACCAUCCUGACCUUUGUAAAUGUCGUGAAUGUGAAAAACAUCAUGGUGUAGCCUCCCCUGCCCUAAAAUCCUCGCGCUGGUAAUACUCUUAUAUAGGGGCAAUUUAAUUUAUCGCUAUUUAUAAUUUCUA